GAUGAACGCUGGCGGCGUGCCUAAUACAUGCAAGUCGAGCGAACAGACGAGGAGCUUGCGCCUCUGACGUUAUCGGCGGACGGGUGAUGAACACGUGGAUGACCUACCUAUAAGACUGGGGUAACUUCGGGAGACCGUAGCUAAUACCGAAUGAUAUAUUGAACCGCAUUGUUCAAGAGUUAAAGACGGUUUUUCUUUCGCUUAUAGAUGGGUCCGCGCCGCAUUAGCUAGUUGGUAGGGUAACGGCUUACCAAGGCGACGAUCCAUAGCCGGCCUGAGCUGCUGAUCAGCGACACUGGGACUGGGACACGGCCCGGACUCCUACGGGAGGCAGCAGUGGGGAAUAUUGGACAAUGGGCGAAAGCCUGAUCCAGCAAUGCCGCGUGAGUGAUGAAGGCCUUAGUGUUGUAAAGCUCUUUUACCCGGGAUGAUAAUGACAGUACCGGGAGAAUAAGCUCCGGCUAACUCCGUG
rnacentral:rRNA from 1 species